UAUAAUAAUAAUAAUAGUAAUAAUAAUAAUAAUAAUUCCCCAGCCAGCCACGUUCAGGCCCAGGCCUUCCGACAGAGACAAGACGAGGUGGAAAGCAAACGAGGAGAACUAGGUCUAACUACUCUUUGUCUUAAAACUCCAGAUUCACUGCCCCGCGCGGACGAUUCGAGGUCGAACCGGGAGCCCCCAGAAGUCCCGGGGAUGGAUAACCAGACGUCUCCAGCUGCUGUGAAGGACUCGUGCACGUACCACGAAGAGUUUAAGCAGAUCCUGCUGCCGGUGGUCUACUCCGUCGUCCUGGCGUUGGGGUUCCCCUUGAACUUCGUGGUCAUCAUUCAGAUCUGGCUGUCCCGGAAGGUCCUGACCCGGACCAUGAUCUACAUGCUGAACCUGGCGGUGGCCGACUUACUCUAUGUCUGCUCUCUGCCGCUGCUGAUCUACAACUAUUCCCAGAAGGACUACUGGCCUUUUGGCGACUUCACCUGCCGCUUCGUCCGGUUCCAGUUCUACACCAACUUGCACGGCAGCAUCCUUUUCCUGACCUGCAUUAGCGUCCAGCGCUAUUUGGGCAUCUGCCACCCGCUCUCCACCUGGCACAAGAAACGGGGCAAACGCUUCACUUGGGGGGUCUGCACCCUGGUUUGGAUCGUGGUCACCGCUCAGUGCCUGCCCACCUUCCUCUACGCCUCCACCGGGAUCCAGAGGAACCGCACCGUCUGCUACGACCUGAGCACACCGGAAAACUCAGGCGGGUACUUCCCCUACGGCAUCACCCUGACCGUCACGGGCUUCUUGAUCCCUUUUCUCUUCAUCUUGGGCUGCUACUGUAACAUGACCAAGAUCCUUUGUCAGAAGGAUGAGUUGAUCGGGCUGGCCGUCCGCAAGAAGAAGGACAAAGCCAUCCGGAUGAUUGUUAUCGUGGUCCUCGUCUUUGCCAUCAGCUUCUUCCCCUUCCACUUGACCAAGACCAUCUACCUGAUCAUCCGCUCCUUUCCCGAGGUCCACUGCCUCACCCGCCAGGCCUUUGCCAUCACCUACAAGUGCACCCGUCCUUUUGCCAGUAUGAACAGCGUCCUGGACCCCAUCCUUUUCUACUUCACCCAGAGGAAAUUUCGGGAAAGCACGCGACACUUGUUGGACAAGGUCAGCUCCAAGUGGAAGCACGAUUCGUGAGGAUGGGCCGAGAACGGGCGUCAACUGGAAGGAGAUCUGAUCUUCGACCAAGGACAGGCUGGUGGUCCUCACCCCGGGGCCCAACCGGCGGGAGAAAACCGCCAACGGUCAGCCGCAGGAGGCCGUGCCAACCCGUGAGAAGGUCCUCCAGAGGAACACCGGCGUGUAAAUACAGGCCUGGCCAUCCGUUCUUCUCAUCCGUAGGUUUGGGGUACGAAGGUCUUCAACUGCUGGAGGCUGAUCAAUUGGACCGAGAGAUUUCUGGAUCCCCUGUUUGUGUGAAAAGGGAGACCAAGCAGAAAAAUUCAAAGCAGGAACCACGAAGUCUGCUUUUCUAAACCACGACAACCAAGCCCGUUGGAAGGAAAAUCCCAAGCUAAUAUUUUUUAAUCAAAAAGGCAGAGGGGGUCUCUCAAUCACACCCUUUAUUGACCAGAGACUUUGGCAUCAAAAUAUGGAAAGACUCCAGAGUGGGGCUUACGAGUGUCCCCAUGUGACCUGUGAGAUAUGUGGAUUUAAGACCCUGUUGUGGGAGAGGGGAUCGACUGCAGGAUCUAAAAGGGAUUACCAUCCAGCUAGGAAGAAAUCUCGGCUGUUCAAAAGCUCCAGACGUCCGCUGCGGAUGAGCCCUUGAGAAGGCAUUUUGAGGAUCAAAAAGUGUGCAGCUCCAUUGCACGACCGUUUUCCAUCCUCUAUGGAUUCCGGAGAAUCUUCUCAGGAUCUUCCCAGGAUAUAUCCCAGCAGCCCACUGGAAAAGGAUUUUGACUCAGAGCAGUGGUUCUCAACCUGUGGGUCGGAACCCCAUUUGGGGUCGAACGACCAUUUCACGGGGGUCGCCAAACAACGCAGUCCGCCAUUUUUUCCCCCUUUUCCUUAGUUGUGCUA